UGAGAGUUUGAUCCUGGCUCAGGAUGAACGCUGGCGGUCUGCUUAACACAUGCAAGUCGAACGCAACCUUCGGGUUGAGUGGCGGACGGGUGAGUAACGCGUGAGAAUCUGCCUUGGGGUCGGGGACAACCACUGGAAACGGUGGCUAAUACCGGAUACGCCUUCGGGUAAAAGAUUUAUUGCCCUAAGAGGAGCUCGCGUCUGAUUAGCUAGUUGGUGAGGUAAGAGCUCACCAAGGCAGCGAUCAGUAGCUGGUCUGAGAGGACGAUCAGCCACACUGGGACUGAGACACGGCCCAGACUCCUACGGGAGGCAGCAGUGGGGAAUUUUCCGCAAUGGGCGAAAGCCUGACGGAGCAAGACCGCGUGAGGGAGGAAGGCUCUUGGGUUGUAAACCUCUUUUCUCAGGGAAGAAGCUCUGACGGUACCUGAGGAAUCAGCCUCGGCUAACUCCGUGCCAGCAGCCGCGGUAAUACGGAGGAGGCAAGCGUUAUCCGGAAUUAUUGGGCGUAAAGCGUCCGCAGGUGGCGAUUCAAGUCUGCUGUCAAAGCACGGGGCUUAACUCCGUAAAGGCAGUGGAAACUGAAUAGCUAGAGUGCCGUAGGGGUAGAGGGAAUUCCCGGUGUAGCGGUGAAAUGCGUAGAGAUCGGGAAGAACAUCGGUGGCGAAAGCGCUCUACUGGACGGCAACUGACACUCAGGGACGAAAGCUAGGGGAGCGAAUGGGAUUAGAUACCCCAGUAGUCCUAGCUGUAAACGAUGGAUACUAGGUGUAGCUUGUAUCGACCCGAGCUGUGCCGAAGCUAACGCGUU
rnacentral:rRNA from 1 species